GCGUUAUUUUUCACAGGUUUGCGUUAUUUGCGUUAUUUCGCAAAGGUUUGUGGUAUAACGCAGAUGUUUGCGUUAUAUCGCAAAGGUUUUCGUUAAGGGCAAACGAUACAGUUUUGAUCCCGUAUAAGGCCGUACGGUGACCUAUAGUUGUUUUAAUGUCUGUGUCUUUUUGGUCUCUUGUAAAAAGUUGUUUCAUUGGCAAUCAUACC
rnacentral:lncRNA from 1 species